GUGUUUUCUGAGAUGAGUAUUGUGGCUUAGGGUAAGGAUGGAGAAAAACAGUGUUCUUUGUGAGCAAAUGUGGAAGAGGGUGUGAUGAUGCCUUUCUGUAUGGUGUAGUUUUCAUCAAAAUGUUAACUUUUUGAGAAAAUGCAUAAGAGGUCAUGUUUAUGAACCUAGAGUUGGGGGGAAGAGGCAGGGAUCGAGAAAACUAUAACUUCUUGAGAAAAUGCAUAAUAACUGAAGGUUACCAUCAUUUGAUUUUCUGCAAAUUGACCUGAAAUUAUGUUUACAGAUGUGACAAUGACACAAAUGGGCAUUCUUGGACAAUGAGAAGGAGUGAAAAUGGGAAUUAUAUAAGGUUUCAUGGAGCACCUUAUAGAUAGGGAAUACUUGAAGCUAGCAAAUUUUGGGUCAUUACUAUCCUUCCAAUUGUUGUGGAGAUUGAUGAUCGAGCCAGUGACCAGUUGUGGAGAUGGCCAUUCCCUGUGGUGUUCCAUAGUUGUGUAUAUUGUGUUGUGAGCCAUGUGUUAGUGGCUGUUUUUUUUGUAUUCCAGUGUUGUAGAGAUGCUGUUGGUGUUGAUUCUGUAGAUUGUAAACUAGGGGCUUUGUGUGGAAACACUUGUUAUAGUCUUGGAUGACUAUAAGGAUGUUUAAUAUGUGCAGGAUAUUAAUUCAGUAUUUGAGAAUGCAUAAAUUUGUGGCCUUGAAACAA